rfam:TPA: Bos taurus chromosome 12, whole genome shotgun sequence.
CCUGUAUCUCAAACAGUAAAGAAUCUGCCUGCAAUGCAGGAGACCAGGGUUUGAUCCCUGGAUCAGGA